UGGUUCUCGCAUCGAUGAAGAACGCAGCGAAACGCGAUAGGUAAUGUGAAUUGCAGAAUUCCGUGAAUCAUCGAAUCUUUGAACGCACAUUGCGCUCCCUGGUAUUCCUAGGAGCAUGUCUGUCUGAGCGUCAGUACACACCCUCCGUGAACAUUUGUUUGUUUGUCGGGUCUUGAGUUUGGGGGGUGGGCGAAAGCUCCCCCCCCUCCCUCUAAAGUGGAACGCACAGCGGCCCGCCUACCACCCCCCAGAAAGACGUAGUAAUACAACAAUGAAUCGUCCGCUAAAGGGAUACAAGGCGACGGCUUGCCUCGAAUCUUUUCUCUAAGGUUUGACCUCAGAUCAGACAAGAAUACCCGCUGA
rnacentral:misc_RNA from 1 species